rnacentral:rRNA from 1 species
CAUGCAAGUCGAACGAUGAACCACUUCGGUGGGGAUUAGUGGCGAACGGGUGAGUAACACGUGGGCAAUCUGCCCUGCACUCUGGGACAAGCCCUGGAAACGGGGUCUAAUACCGGAUACGAGCUCCUGCCGCAUGGUGGGGGUUGGAAAGCUCCGGCGGUGCAGGAUGAGCCCGCGGCCUAUCAGCUUGUUGGUGAGGUAACGGCUCACCAAGGCGACGACGGGUAGCCGGCCUGAGAGGGCGACCGGCCACACUGGGACUGAGACACGGCCCAGACUCCUACGGGAGGCAGCAGUGGGGAAUAUUGCACAAUGGGCGCAGCCCUGAUGCAGCGACGCCGCGUGAGGGAUGACGGCCU